rnacentral:rRNA from 1 species
UACGUAGGAGGCGAGCGUUGUCCGGAAUUACUGGGCGUAAAGAGCGCGUAGGUGGCGCGAUACGACCGGUGUGAAAUCCUCCGGCUCAACUGGAGGGGUCACUGGUAACGGUCGUGCUGAUGAGUGCAGGAGAGGGACGUGGAACUCCGGGAGUAGCGGUGAAAUGCGUAGAGACCCGGAGGAACACCAGUGGCGAAGGCGGCGCCUGGCCUGCGAC